rnacentral:rRNA from 1 species
AUUGAACGCUGGCGGCAGGCCUAACACAUGCAAGUCGAACGAGUGGCAGACGGGUGAGUAAUGUCUGGGAAACUGCCUGAUGGAGGGGGAUAACUACUGGAAACGGUAGAUAAUACCGCAUACCAUCAGAUGUUCCCAGAUGGGUUGUGCUAGUUGGUGGGGUAACGGCUCACCAAGGCGACGAUCCCUAGCUGGUCGGAGAGGAUGACCAGCCACACUGGAACUGAGACACGGUCCAGACGCCUACGGGAGGCAGCAGUGGGGAAUAUUGCACAAUGGGCGCAAGCCUGAUGCAGCCAUGCCGCGUGUAUGAAGAAGGCUUUCGGGUUGUAAAGUACUUUCAGCGGGGAGGCGUUACCCGCAGAAGAAGCACCGGCUAACUCCGUGCCAGCAGCCGCGGUAAUUC